CACGACACUCUUUAGGGCACUCAUCAUAGUGGCAAUGGCAAUGAAGAAAGAAAAAAUUCUUUCAGUGCGAAACUCCUUCAUCAGGGGAUCGGUUGUGAGAUAUGUGCAGCUUCCCCCAGAUGGAGUUGAUGUUGAUCUCCUUCAUGAUGCCACUAGGAGAGAAGCUCGUGGUGGCUGAUUGUUAUUUUCAUCCUAUUGGAUACUUAAGGAGAAGAGCUUAAUGGGCUGGUCUUGCGGUGAUAAUUGAUCUCUAGUCUAAAUAUCUCAGACGUAUUGAUUAUAGGUGGCUAAUUUCAUUCAUGUUGACAAUUUGUCCUGCUCCUUGGUGGGACAAAAAGAAGAUUUUCUUAAUUUUUAAAGUCAUUAUGCACUAUUGCUUGAGAGGAAUUCAUCUAGAGGGGUUUUGAGAACGUUCCAAGUACAUGUAUAAAGAGGAUCUAAUGAGUUACAAUGCAUCAGUUGGGUUAUAUUUACCUUCCAGGACUUGAUGUUAAUGGGUCGGCAAGCGGCAAGCGGCAAGGGCCUGUUUGUAUACACAUAUGAUGUUCCUUUCCAGAAACAGUUAGUACUGUUCCAUUUUUCUGGGACCAGAGAAAACAUUUGGCAUUGUCUAUCCUGUUCAAGAAUCAGAGUGGAUUGAUCGGUUGAACACGGGUAAAUUAGAGCUGGGCAUCCCAGUGGGAACAUGAAUAUGAAAUGUAUCCAGAUGGCCAUAGAAUACUGAAGGUUGAGGAUGGAUGCUGUUUGUGCAAUCUUGACUUGGACCACUCUGUUCCUUGUGGCUUUUCUAAGAGGUUUUGGGCUGCUGGGUUCCUUUGUCUUAGAACUGAGAACAUUCAAGGAUCUACUCAUUUUAUUAUAUGAAAUCACUCAACUCUUCCUAUGGACAGCUAGGAAUGAUCUUUUUUCUCUGGAAAUAUGAACCUAACCCUCACCUUAUAUUCUCAAAUUGGAAACA